GGUUGGAGACUUGAAUGUGCACUUGAGGAGUUGGUGAGCUUGGAUUAAAGGCUUCUUGAAUGCUUUGAGUGAGCUUUUGCUUAGGGCUGAAAAAUUUGCUUGAAAUUUCUUUUUCAAAAUCUCUCUUCUUAAUGAUUCCCACCUAUUUGUCCCUUUUAUAGCUUCAAAAAAUAGUGAAAAAUAUUCUGGGCUGAAAUAGAGCCAUUAGACCACAUUAAAUGAGCAUU
rnacentral:lncRNA from 1 species